GUUCAGCAGAUAUAUAUACCCAGAUAUACCCAGUUAGAUAUAUAGAGGAGCUAUUUAUCCAGUCAGAUAUAGAUGAGUUAUUUACCCAGUCAGAUAUAGAGGAGUUAUUUACCCAGUCAGAUAUAGAGGAGGUAUUUACCCAGUCAGAUAUAGAGGAGUUAUUUACCCAGUCAGAUAUAGUUAUUUACCCAGUCAGAUAUAGUUAUUUACCCAGUCAGAUAUAGAGUUAUUUACCCAGUCAGAUAUAGAGUUAUUUACCCAGUCAGAUAUAGAGGGGUUAUUUACCCAGUCAGAUGUAGAGGAGGUUAUUUACCCAGUCAGAUAUAGAGGAGUUAUUUACCCAGUCAGAUAUAGAGGAGUUAUUUACCCAGUCAGAUAUAGUUAUUUACCCAGUCAGAUAUAGAGGAGUUAUUUACCCAGUCAGAUAUAGAGGAGGUUAUUUACCCAGUCAGAUAUAGAGGAGUUAUUUACCCAGUCAGAUAUAGAGGAGUUAUUUACCCAGUCAGAUAUAGAGGAGUUAUUUACCCAGUCAGAUAUAGAGGAGUUAUUUACCCAGUCAGAUAUAGAGGAGUUAUUUAUCCAGUCAGAUAUAGAGGAGUUAUUUACCCAGUCAGAUAUAGAGGAGUUAUUUACCCAGUCAGAUAUAGAGGAGUUAUUUACCCAGUCAGAUAUAGAGGGGUUAUUUACCCAGUCAGAUAUAGAGGAGGUUAUUUACCCAGUCAGAUAUAGAGGAGUUAUUUACCCAGUCAGAUAUAGAGGGGUUAUUUACCCAGUCAGAUAUAGAGGAGUUAUUUACCCAGUCAGAUAUAGAGGGGUUAUUUACCCAGUCAGAUAUAGAGGGGUUAUUUACCCAGUCAGAUAUAGUUAUUUACCCAGUCAGAUAUAGAGGAGUUAUUUACCCAGUCUGAUAUAGAGGAGUUAUUUACCCAGUCAGAUAUAGAGGAGUUAUUUACCCAGUCAGAUAUAGAGGAGUUAUUUACCCAGUCAGAUAUAGAGGGGUUAUUUACCCAGUCUGAUAUAGAGGAGUUAUUUACCCAGUCAGAUAUAGAGGAGUUAUUUACCCAGUCAGAUAUAGAGGAGUUAUUUACCCAGUCAGAUAUAGAGGAGUUAUUUACCCAGUCAGAUAUAGAGUUAUUUACCCAGUCAGAUAUAGAGGAGUUAUUUACCCAGUCAGAUAUAGAGGAGUUAUUUACCCAGUCAGAUAUAGAGGAGUUAUUUACCCAGUCAGAUAUAGAGGAGUUAUUUACCCAGUCAGAUAUAGAGGAGUUAUUUACCCAGUCAGAUAUAGAGUUAUUUACCCAGUCAGAUAUAGAGGAGUUAUUUACCGAGUCAGAUAUAGAGGAGUUAUUUACCCAGUCAGAUAUAGAGGAGUUAUUUACCCAGUCAGAUAUAGAGGAGUUAUUUAUCCAGUCAGAUAUAGAGGAGUUAUUUACCCAGUCAGAUAUAGAGGGGUUAUUUACCCAGUCAGAUAUAGAGGAGUUAUUUACCCAGUCAGAUAUAGAGUUAUUUACCCAGUCAGAUAUAGAGGGGUUAUUUACCCAGUCAGAUAUAGAGGAGUUAUUUACCCAGUCAGAUAUAGAGGAGUUAUUUACCCAGUCAGAUAUAGAGGAGUUAUUUACCCAGUCAGAUAUAGAGGAGUUAUUUACCCAGUCAGAUGUAGAGGAGGUUAUUUACCCAGUCAGAUAUAGAGGGGUUAUUUACCCAGUCAGAUAUAGAGGAGUUAUUUACCCAGUCAGACAUAGAGGAGUUAUUUACCCAGUCAG